GCGAGCGGCGGAUGGGUGAGUAACACGUGGGGAACCUGCCCCUAAGUCUGGGAUACCAUUUGGAAACAGGUGCUAAUACCGGAUAAUAAAGCAGAUCGCAUGAUCAGCUUUUGAAAGGCGGCGUAAGCUGUCGCUAAGGGAUGGCCCCGCGGUGCAUUAGCUAGUUGGUAAGGUAACGGCUUACCAAGGCGACGAUGCAUAGCCGAGUUGAGAGACUGAUCGGCCACAUUGGGACUGAGACACGGCCCAAACUCCUACGGGAGGCAGCAGUAGGGAAUCUUCCACAAUGGACGCAAGUCUGAUGGAGCAACGCCGCGUGAGUGAAGAAGGUUUUCGGAUCGUAAAGCUCUGUUGUUGGUGAAGAAGGAUAGAGGUAGUAACUGGCCUUUAUUUGACGGUAAUCAACCAGAAAGUCACGGCUAACUACGUGCCAGCAGCCGCGGUAAUACGUAGGUGGCAAGCGUUGUCCGGAUUUAUUGGGCGUAAAGCGAGCGCAGGCGGAAAAAUAAGUCUAAUGUGAAAGCCCUCGGCUUAACCGAGGAACUGCAUCGGAAACUGUUUUUCUUGAGUGCAGAAAGAGGAGAGUGGAACUCCAUGUGUAGCGGUGGAAUGCGUAGAUAUAUGGAAGAACACCCAGUGGCGAAGGCGGGCUCUCUGGUCUGCAAACUGACGCUGAGGCUCGAAA
rnacentral:rRNA from 1 species